UACGUAGGGUGCGAGCGUUGUCCGGAAUUAUUGGGCGUAAAGGGCUCGUAGGCGGUUUGUCGCGUCGGGAGUGAAAACACUGGGCUUAACUCAGUGCUUGCUUCCGAUACGGGCAGACUAGAGGUAUGCAGGGGAGAACGGAAUUCCUGGUGUAGCGGUGAAAUGCGCAGAUAUCAGGAGGAACACCGGUGGCGAAGGUGGUUCUCUGGGCAUUACCUGACGCUGAGGAGCGAAAGUGUGGGGAGCGAACAGG
rnacentral:rRNA from 1 species